UUAUAUUUGAGAGUUUGAUCCUGGCUCAGGAUGAACGCUGGCGGCGUGCCUAACACAUGCAAGUCGAGCGGAG
rnacentral:rRNA from 1 species